rnacentral:tRNA from 1 species
GUCUCCGUAGCUUACAACAAAGCAUAGCACUGAAGCUGCUAAGACGAUGCUACCGCACCCGAAGACA